CGGAAGCCUCCCGUUUCCUGUCCAGCAUCACGUGUUAGGAGAGGUCAUGGCACCCCAUCGUCUCACUUCCUGCUACCUGCCACCCACUACCCUGUGAUUCCAGCCCACCCCCAGAGCAGGACAAGGGACUCACAUUCAUUGGGCUGCAACUGCAUGCUAGCCACUUGCACAGCACUUCAAUUUACUUAAAGCCUCCCACAGUACAUUGAGGUGGUUUACUCUUAUUCCCAUCUUAUAGAUGAAGAAACCAAGGCUCAGAGAGGCAGAGUUGUGUGAAGCCACACGAUAUGCUGCCGGGAGAGAUGGUCCUCAAGACAGCUGGAACAAGGUGGACCAGAGGCUCCUGCUGUCGGGGCCUCACAGUGCCAGCCCUGAUUCCAGCUCUGAGCCUGAUGCUACUUUCUGGCCCUUGAUCCAUGUUUGUUUGGUCACUCAGCCCUCAUCUUCAGAGAGAUCCAGGAGUAAGGAGAGAGAGACUGGGACUGCAGGAGGUAAUUGAAGGAUGCACCGGCCCCUCCCACACGCCCGAUGGUUAUUUACAUCAUCCUGCGGAAUGAAUGAAGUCUGCAAGCUGCGGAAUAGGUACAUCUCCAGCCCUCGCCGCCCACUCUGCGCAGGCUCCCCUUGCAGGCUCUGCAGGAUGCAGGCAGAUAUCGAUUCCUUGGGUCCCCUUUCUGGACUCCCCAGGCUGCACUUAGUGUGGCGAGGUGUGUUUCUUCUGCCUGUUUCUUUGCUUGGUUUCCCCACAGCCUGGGAGCUCCUUGGGUGGGGGAUGGCAUUUGCUAAGCAUACCAUUGUCUCACCAUUCUGUCUACAGCCCAGGAGUAUUCCGUAUAGAGCGGGCCUUGGAUUCCUGGGGACCCGAGGAUGGAUGAAAGCCAGGCUUAGAUAG
rnacentral:lncRNA from 1 species